rnacentral:rRNA from 1 species
AUGAGUUGCUUGAGGUGGAACUGUCGGGGGCUUGGGAACCCCGAGAUAGUUCGCGAGCUUCGCAGUGUUGUGAAGAAAGAAGGGAUCGCUCUGCUUGUUAUGGAGACGAAGAUCAGAGGAAAACAUGUCAAAAAUGUGAAGCACACUCUUGGGUUUGUGGGCAGUUUUGCGGUGGACAGUGAUGGCCUUAAUGGAGGCAUAUGGUUGUUUUGGUCUAAAGAAGAGAAGGUGGAACUCAAAAAUUAUAGUACUAGCCACAUUAGUGUGGUGGUAUUUGAUUAA